UUAAAUUAAUUAUAAUAUAGUAUUAUCUCCUUUAUUUUAGUUAAUUGGGGUGGUUAUUUAUUUAAUUAAUAUAAA
rnacentral:tRNA from 1 species